rnacentral:rRNA from 1 species
AAGCUCGUAGUUGAAUUUCGGGGUUCUACCGUUGGUCGGGCAAUAGUCUGUACUGGCGUGUGGAAUUUCUACCUUCUGGGGAAUCAUCAUGUUAAUUUAGCGUGGUGGGAAACCAAAUCCUUUACCUUGAAAAAAUUAGCGUGUUCAAAGCAGGCUUACAUCUGAAUACAUUAGCAUGGAAUAUUAAAAUAGGAUGGUGGUCCUGUUUUGUUGGGUUCUGAAUCACCAUAAUGAUUAAUAGGGAUAGUUGGG